AUAGAAGAGGCGCGGUCAACAAGAGUCGCAUGUCUGAGGUGGGUAUCACCGGAGAGGACGUGUUAAAGGGGCGACCGCCGAAAUUCACCGAGAGUUACCUAAUCGGUGGGUUGGGUCCUGGUUCAACAGAUCAGGGACUGUCGCAUCCAUAUAUGGGGUGCGGGGCGCUUU
rnacentral:ncRNA from 1 species